GACGAACGCUGGCGGCGUGCCUAAUACAUGCAAGUCGAACGCAGUGGGGACGGGUGAGUAACACGUGGGUAACCUCCCAUCAGAGGGGAUAACACUUGGAAACAGGUGCUAAACCGAUAGUGAUGGAUGGACCCGGGGUGCAUUAGCUCGUUGGGGAGGUAACGGCUCACCAAGGCCACGAUGCAUAGCCGACCUGAGAGGGGGAUCGGCCACACUGGGACUGAGACACGGCCCAGACUCCUACGGGAGGCAGCAGUGGGGAAUAUUCGGCAAUGGACGAAAGUCUGACAGAGCAACGCCGCGUGAGUGAAGAAGGUUUUCGGAUCGUAAAACUCUGUUGUUAGAGAAGCGUUAUCUAACCAGAAAGCAACGGCUAACUACGUGCCAGCAGCCGCGGUAAUAC
rnacentral:rRNA from 1 species